AUGCUGCCGUUGGUACCUUGCCCUAGCUGCCGCAUUCGAUCUACAAUUCGUCUUGUGUCAAAAUCGGAGGCAAAUCCUGGUAAGAUUUUCUACAAGUGCCCCAAUCGAUUUGAUAUUACACCAAAUCAUUGCCAACAUUAUUACUGGGAAGAUGGACCAGACAACUAUUAUGAUUUUUUUGGUGAGAGGUGGGUACAUCAGCCAUGGAUUUAG
rnacentral:rRNA from 1 species